CCAAAGCAGUGGCGACGGUCUGUGGAAGCGUCGGGGAGAUCUGAGGUCACCGUCCAACAUGUCUGACUGCUGAAGACCUGGACACCCGUCUGUCCUGAGACAUCUACAUCUGACAGAUUGACUGUUUCUCAUUAAGAUCCAAUAUUUAACUGUGUGUAAUAUUUAAAAACUGUGAAUUAAAUCACAGUUACGGUAGGAUUCGUAUAAUAUUUUGACUCCAGAUAUUUAAUAUCCAAGCCAAGCCAAGUUGUGAAAAGAAAA